rnacentral:rRNA from 1 species
CCUACGGGUGGCAGCAGUGAGGAAUAUUGGUCAAUGGACGAGAGUCUGAACCAGCCAAGUAGCGUGAAGGAUGACUGCCCUAUGGGUUGUAAACUUCUUUUAUAUGGGAAUAAAAUGUUCCACGUGUGGGACUUUGUAUGUACCAUAUGAAUAAGGAUCGGCUAACCCCGCGCCCGCAGCCGCGGUAAUACGGAGGAUGCGAGCGUUAUCCGGAUUUAUUGGGUUUAUAGGGAGCGUAGGGGGAUUGUUAAGUCAGUUGUGAAAGUUUGCGGCGCAACCGUAAAAUUGAAGUUGAAACUGGCAGUCUUGAGUACAGUAGAGGUGGGCGGAAUUCGUGGUGUAGCGGUGAAAUGCUUAGAUAUCACGAAGAACUCCGAUUGCGAAGGCAGUUCACUGGACUGCAACUGACACUGAGGCUCGAAAGUGUGGGUAUCAAACAGGAUUAGAUACCCGUGUAGUC